AUGAACGCUGGCGGCGUGCCUAAGACAUGCAAGUCGAGUGGGUUUAGGCCCACGGCGAACGGGUGAGUAAUACCUAGGAACGUAGCACAAGUUGAGCAUAACCAGCCGAAAGGUUGGAUAAUACUCAAUGUGGAAGUAAUUCUAAAGUCGCAAGACGCUUGUGAAGCGGCCUGGGCACCAUCAGCUAGUUGGUAGGGUAAAAGCCUACCAAGGCUAUGACGGUUAGGGGCCCCGAGAGGGGAAACCCCCACACUGGAACUGCGACACGGUCCAGACUCCUACGGGAGGCAGCAGUUUGGAAUUUUGGACAAUGGGCGAAAGCCUGAUCCAGCGACGGCCGCGUGGACGAUGAAGGCCUUCGGGUUGUAAAGUCCUUUUGCUUGGGAGCAAUAUUUUGAGAGUACCAAGCGAAUAAGAGGUUGCUAACUCUGUGCCAGCAGCAGCGGUAAUACAGAGACCUCAAGCGUUAUCCGGAAUCAUUGGGCGUAAAGCGUACCGAUAGGUUGUUUUGCAAGUCAAAAGUAAAAUCUCCGAGCUCAACUCGGAAUCUGUCUUUUGAAACUGCAAAACUAGAGGGGCAAAGAGGAAGCUGGAACGAACGGUGUAGUAGUGAAAUGCGUUGAUAUCGUUCGGGACACCAAUAGCGUAGGCAGGCUUCUGGGUGCCACCUGACACUGCUAGGACGAAAGCGUGGGGAGCGAAUGGGAUUAGAUACCCCAGUAGUCCACGCUGUAAACGAUGCACGUUAGGUGCUAGGGAGUAUCGACCCUCUUUAGUACCAUAGCUAACGCGUUAAACGUGCCGCCUGGGGAGUACGGCCGCAAGGCUAAAACUCAAAGGAAUUGACGGGGACCUGCACAAGCGGUGGAGCAUGUGGUUUAAUUCGACGGUAAGCGAGGAACCUUACCAAGGCUUGACAUACUAACGUCCUAUUCUUUGGAAACAGAGAAAAUUCGUAAGAAGGUUAGUACAGGUGAUGCACGGUUGUCGUCAGCUCGUGCCGUGAGGUGUUCACUUAAGUGUGAAAACGAGCGCAACCCCUAUUACCAGUUACAAGUGUCUGGUGAAACUGCCGGCGUUUAAGCCGGAGGAAGGUGGGGAUGACGUCAAAUCAGCGUGUCUCUUACGCCUUGGGCGACACACGUGCUACAAUGGGUAGCUACAACGGGACGCCAAAUCGCAAGAUGGAGCAAAUCCUAUCAAAUCUAUCCUCAGUUCGGAUUGAGGGCUGCAAACUCGCCCUCAUGAAGCUGGAAUCGCUAGUAACCGUGGAUCAGCCUCGCCACGGUGAAUACGUUCUCAGGUUUUGUACACACCGCCCGUCAAGCCAUGGAAGCGGGAAGCGGAUGAAGCAUGCUCUCUGAGCGUUCCAAUCCGAAGCUCGUAACUGGGGCU
rnacentral:rRNA from 1 species